UAUUAAUAAGCCCUGACCCGCUAAUAAUAAGAUAUGUUGGUUUAGCUUGUCAGUGUGAAUUAAAUUGAUUUAUUUAGUUGUAUUUUUAACCGAUUUAAAAAUGAAACUAAGCGAGACUCCUCCCUCUCAGUCCCGGGAAUUGCUCCUGUAGAGGCGCAUUUUCUCUCAGACAAUGAAAGUCUCAGCACACAUACAUUCCUCACACAGAGCCAAAAAUCCAUAUUCAAAUCAAAAUAGCCGACUUCCUGUUGGUCGUAGCUAAUGACUGUAAAUUAGAAAGUUGUCCGUCUUAAUAAGAACAAUAUAUGUACCGAUUUGGUGUCUGUAGCUAAAACUAAGCCCCCCACUUUUGACAAAAGGUGGCGCUAUAGAGUGCCUCCUCCACGCCCUUUCAUGUGCUUUUUCCAUUGUCUAGCUAUCAUUAAUACUGAUAUGUGUUUUGAGUUUCAUAUAAUUCUGAGCAUUUUAUCUGCCUCAAAAUCACCAGAAUAGAAUAGUCAAGAUUGACACGUUGCCACGACAACACUAUAUUAGAUAUCAAUAUCCCCACAACAGAUUUACAUCGGCCGUGUAUUGUCAUUAUUCUGAUGAAGUUUGAAGCAAAUCGAGUGAAAAUAAGAUGCUGAAUUCAAAGCAUUUUGAAAAUGACACACUUCCUGCUGCCAGUUGGUGGCGCUAUAACUUUGACUCCUAAUAGUCACAUAUAUGCGAUCGGCAUAAUACAUCGAACAAUCCGAUGAAGUUUGAUCUAAAUCAGGCGAUGUAUGUGGAUGUUAUUAGACAUUUCCUGUUUCUCAUUUUUUGCCCUAAUUUCAACGCCUCGCCACGGACAAACCGUUUGAGAUAUCAAAAAUCCCCUGGCAAUUUUUCAUCCCCAAUGUCUUGACAUCAUGUUCACCGAGUUUCAUGGAGAAUGGGUGGAAAACCUCAGAGGAGUAUUUCAAAUUCCAGAGCAUGCUUUUUUUAAACAGCCCUGAAUAGCUCACUUCCUGUUGGGCGGAGCCUAUGACAUAGAGCGCGAAAGUUGUUCGGCUCAAUGAGAUCUAUAAGUGUACAGAGUUUCAUAUAAAUACAUGCAAGUAUGUGUGAGCUAUGGUUCAAGAUUUCUGACUGUGUUCCAGGGGGCGCUGUAGAGCCCCUGUGCCACGCCCGGGUCCCAGACUCUGCGGCGUCCUGAUGGCCGCAGGUUCCAAUGUGUGUGCCAAUUUUCA
ensembl:lncRNA